GGGGGGAGCAAGCGUUGUUCGGAUUUACUGGGCGUAAAGGGCGCGUAGGCGGCCACCGCAAGUCGACUGUGAAAUCUCCGGGCUUAACCCGGAACGGUCAGCCGAUACUGCGGGGCUAGAGUGCAGAAGGGGCAACUGGAAUUCUCGGUGUAGCGGUGAAAUGCGUAGAUAUCGAGAGGAACACCUGCGGCGAAGGCGGGUUGCUGGGCUGACACUGACGCUGAUGCGCGAAAGCUAGGGGAGCGAACGGGAUUAGAUACCCCGGUGGUCCUAGCCUUAAACGAUGAAUGCUUGGUGUCUGGGGUUCUAUAGUCCCCGGGUGCCGUCGCUAACGCUUUAAGCAUUCCGCCUGGGGAGUACGGUCGCAAGACUG
rnacentral:rRNA from 1 species